CCCAGGCUGCAACAGGCCAGUACCAUUCUGAGCAGACGACUGUGAACACCUGUCCUGCGUCAAUAUAUCAGCAAGAAGGGAUUUCUGCAGGGUCUGUGCACAGGCCGUACAGAGAUCGGUCACCUUACCAUCAUAGGCUCAGGCAGAUGGAGCGAAGAAGAAAUAAGUGACUUUCGUAGCUGCAGAAUGCCAAUAUACCUAUUGUCCAAUCACUCACCCUUCAAUGCUGAACAAGGAAGAAGAAGAAUAUCCGGGGGCAGGUGUAUGGGACAGUGACAUCCCAUACACCAGGCUAAAGUAACAUCUAAGUAUGGGUGUGACAGCUUUAUAAACUGCUGCCUUAGGUGUUCUAAUCCAUGUGAGCCAAUGGUG